rnacentral:rRNA from 1 species
GCAGCUCUAGAGUUUGAUCAUGGCUCAGGAUGAACGCUGGCGGCGUGCUUAACACAUGCAAGUCGAACGGUGAAGCCCAGCUUGCUGGGUGGAUCAGUGGCGAACGGGUGAGUAACACGUGAGCAAUCUGCCCCUGACUCUGGGAUAAGCGCUGGAAACGGCGUCUAAUACUGGAUACGAACCGUGGAGGCAUCUUCAACGGUUGGAAAGAUUUUUUGGUCAGGGAUGAGCUCGCGGGCCUAUCAGCUUGUUGGUGAGGUAAUGGCUCACCAAGGCGUCGACGGGUAGCCGGCCUGAGAGGGUGACCGGCCACACUGGGACUGAGACACGGCCCAGACUCCUACGGGAGGCAGCAGUGGGGAAUAUUGCACAAUGGGCGAAAGCCUGAUGCAGCAAACGCCGCGUGAGGGAUGACGGCCUUCGGGUUGUAAACCUCUUUUAGCAGGGAAGAAGCGAAAGUGACGGUACCUGCAGAAAAAGCGCCGGCUAACUACGUGCCAGCAGCCGCGGUAAUACGUAGGGCGCAAGCGUUAUCCGGAAUUAUUGGGCGUAAAGAGCUCGUAGGCGGUUUGUCGCGUCUGCUGUGAAAUCCCGAGGCUCAACUUCGGGUCUGCAGUGGGUACGGGCAGACUAGAGUGCGGUAGGGGAGAUUGGAAUUCCUGGUGUAGCGGUGGAAUGCGCAGAUAUCAGGAGGAACACCGAUGGCGAAGGCAGAUCUCUGGGCCGUAACUGACGCUGAGGAGCGAAAGGGUGGGGAGCAAACAGGCUUAGAUACCCUGGUAGUCCACCCCGUAAACGUUGGGAACUAGUUGUGGGGUCCAUUCCACGGAUUCCGUGACGCAGCUAACGCAUUAAGUUCCCCGCCUGGGGAGUACGGCCGCAAGGCUAAAACUCAAAGGAAUUGACGGGGACCCGCACAAGCGGCGGAGCAUGCGGAUUAAUUCGAUGCAACGCGAAGAACCUUUACCAAGGCUUGACAUAUACGAGAACGCUGCAGAAAUGUAGAACUCUUUGGACACUCGUAAACAGGUGGUGCAUGGUUGUCGUCAGCUCGUGUCGUGAGAUGUUGGGUUAAGUCCCGCAACGAGCGCAACCCUCGUUCUAUGUUGCCAGCACGUAAUGGUGGGAACUCAUGGGAUACUGCCGGGGUCAACUCGGAGGAAGGUGGGGAUGACGUCAAAUCAUCAUGCCCCUUAUGUCUUGGGCUUCACGCAUGCUACAAUGGCCGGUACAAAGGGCUGCAAUACCGUGAGGUGGAGCGAAUCCCAAAAAGCCGGUCCCAGUUCGGAUUGAGGUCUGCAACUCGACCUCAUGAAGUCGGAGUCGCUAGUAAUCGCAGAUCAGCAACGCUGCGGUGAAUACGUUCCCGGGUCUUGUACACACCGCCCGUCAAGUCAUGAAAGUCGGUAACACCUGAAGCCGGUGGCCCAACCCUUGUGGAGGGAGCCGUCGAAGGUGGGAUCGGUAAUUAGGACUAAGUCGUAACAAGGUAACCGUAACG